rnacentral:lncRNA from 1 species
GUCAGCGGCUGGAGCGUCACUCCCAGCGCCCCCGCAGAUCUGCAUCGGUUCCAGCCCGGAUCUUAGUGGCAGGCAUGGGUUGGUCUCUGGGUUUGUUUCGCGCCUUGUGGAGAGCGCUGUCAAAGGAGGUGAAGGAACACGUGGGCACAGACCACCUCGGAAACAAGUACUACUUCAUCCCGGAGUACAAGAACUGGAGAGGUGAGACGAGAGAGA